GAUCAUUCGUGUUUGAACUAACCGUCCCAUGACCCCAAUCUUCUCCCUUCCACUCGAGCUCUCCUUUUUCGGCACCGGCGACCGCUCCAGUGAGUUCACCUUGACCAGAUAAAAAAAAAAACACCAGCCAUCUACAACGACCACCAGCGAUCAUCCGGCCAUUUCACUAUCACAGAAAACACCAGCAACAGUGCUUUUUCUCUGGCACCGGGUGAUCAUCCGACCAUUCUUUCUCUUAAGUCUUACCUAUAUUGGAUUCACCCAGUCAUCUGUGGACAAGAAAACAAUCAUUGUGUUUCAACUUUCAACAUGGUUAUUGGCAAGAAACGCAAAAGAAGGAUUAACAUUGGUUAUCUUUUUGUUUAGAAUGGACGGCAUUUGUCAUCUUUCAAUCGUCACUCUAUUGCGUGGAAUUUGUUUUAAACCUCCUCAAUUUAGGUUUUAUUCUGUAUUUGAACGCGGAAGAAGGAAAUGGAGGUUUUAUUUUUCUCCUUUUUUCCGUUCUUUUAUUCCGAUUCGAAGGCUGAGCUGGGAUUUAGCUUCUUUUUUCAUUGAAUGAAAUCCUUCUCUUAUUGCUUUCACUCUA